GAAGAGAAGGAAAGAGAUAUAUAUAUAUAUAUAUAGAGAAAAACAAAGAGACAGAUAGAGAGAGAGAAAGAGAGACAGAGCGGCGGACGGAAUAUCGAGUCUCUCGUUAAAACGAUGACUAAAAUUGGCAAUAUAAUAUACUACCACAUAGUGUACCGUGGUAGUAUCGUAUCGAUGAACGAUGUUCAUCCCUCGUGCGUUCACGCUUUCUUUCGCGGCCUCGAAGAAGGACACUGCGUUGGUCUCUCCCUUUCAGAGAAUCCUCCCUUCCAUCUUCCCUUCCACGAUUCAUCUCAAUUUUUCUUCGAGCUUUUUGUGUCCAAUUUCACCUCGCCUCCCUCGGAUCCCAUCCUCUUUCUUUUUCCCGUCUGUCUCUCUGCCAUUCGUGGAGAGUAGACGAGAGCGCGCGCUCGCUCGCUCCCCCCCUCCCCUCCCCCUCCCCACACCCAUCUUCUUCUACCCUCGUAUCGUUCUCGUUCCAUCUCCCUCUUUUCUUUUCUCUGGCCCUCCUUGUCCCUCGGCCGUUUCGUCGUUUCUUUCUCGAGACCCUCCUCGUCUCUCCUUCCCUCUCUUUCUCCGCGCGUUGGCUCCAUUUACUCGUUCCCUCGUUCCCUCCCCACGAGGCGAAGACGCUAUUUUCUCGUGGCCCCUUUUCUUCCACGGUCUCCGCCACCCUUCUCUCUUUUUCUCCUCUCUCUCUCUCUCCUCUCCCGUCCUAUCCUCUCCUCCGCUCUCUCUGUCUCUCUCUCUUUCCACCACACCAGCCACUCCGUUUUCUCGCUCGAUGGGAAGCUUCUACCCUCCUCUCUUUCUCCUCUCUUCCUCUCCUCAUACUACACGCCGCGUUUCCUUUUCCUCCUGGUCGGUGCGCGUUUUACGUUUUUCCAACGUUAUCGACGUUCUUCCUCGGCUCUUCUCGGACUUUUUCCUUUCGUCGUCGUCGUCGUCGUCGUGGUACCAUCGUACCACCGUCAUCCUCGAGACGACCAACCAGCUCUUUCUCCGGGAAAACGUAAGCGGAAACGGCUUCUCCCCUCCUGCCUUCGCUUCUUCCACCCAGAACCGCGCGUUUCUAGAGGGAACGUUCUGAAAUCUUCCAGAACAGUUUUCUUCGCCUCGUUUCGCUCCCAUAUUCUCGUUCCUCUUCCAUCGUAAAGGAAAGGCGCGGCCGAUAAAGACGGCGAAACUAGUAAAAUUUCUACAUAUCCUCCUUAAAAUUCCGCCAUCUUGUUUUCUUUUUAUUUAUUUAUUUCCCCCUCUCCUUUCCACGUAGUUUUCAAUAAUUAUUCGAAUUUUCUUUCUAUAAACCUUGUCAAAAUUAAAAUUAUCCUUGUUCGAUGAUCGAUUCCAAUUGUUGUUAAUCAACGAUAUAAAAUUUGCAAUAUUUUAUCGAGCAUUUAUUUUCAUCGAGAAAUCGUAUAUAUUAUAAUAAUGUAAUAACGCGAGGCUCGAUUACGAGAUCGAUUUUCCAGAAACGCGUAUUUUUCUAAUCCGAUUGAUCGAUGCCGAAAGGACAUCGACAUCGGGUCACAGCCGAUUCCGAUCGCCGGCAAACGAGAAACGAUUUCUAUCGAUCCUUUGGAAUAUCGAACGCAAGGUGGUGAAAGGUAGUCGAUCGUUUCGUUAAUAUUUUCCGGUCACUUCACUUUCGCGAACAUUUCAUUCGCUGUGCUCGUACAAGACUGAGACGGGAGAAGGAGGAGGAGGUAGGCACACGAUACAAAGAGCGAGAGAGAGAGAGAAGGAUAAACAAACGUGCGAGGUAGGUACGAGGAGUAUAUAAGGAACAACAGUGGUCAACGAGUCGAAGCAGUCCUAAUUUCCGUCCUGUCUGUACCGUAAGGCAUAACAGUACCGCAUUCCAAAUGCCCUUCGUUUCUUCGUUUCUCUCCGUUCACCUUUCCGAGAGAACCAGCCUCUCUCGGCCUCUCACCUGUUCCUCUUCGCCCUACCACUUGAAACAGCACACGCGUAUACACUGUACAGUGGCUGCCUAUGUUGUCUCCGUUCUUCCUUUACCAUCCCUCCUUCCCUCCCCCUUCCAUUACCCCUCUCUGACGCCGUUUUCGAAGGAAAGGAAAGGAGAGAGAGAGAGAGAAAGAGAGAAGGAUAGAGAAGAGAGAGAGAGAGGAGGAGAAGGAAGAACGAGCCGCGAGAUACGGGAGAGGAGAGGGGGGAGAGUAGAGAGAGACCCGGAAACGGCAAUUUCACUGGAAGCAAACGAGAGCGGAGGAAUCGACACGUGGAGAUGCGCAAGAAAGGAGGAAAGAAAAAUGCUCUCUCUACGUACUGGGACUGUUUUCGUCCGUUGUCCUUCCUCGUCCUCUGCAAGAAAGAAUAUCUAUUUGACGGAAUAUAAUCUCGCGUAAACUUGUUUACAUUAACCCUCGACCGGUCGACCUUCGGUCAUUGGAAAAAUAAUUCAAUUAUUUAUUAUCUUCUCGCGUUUAUUUUUCUUCUCCUUUUUUUUUUUUUUCUUUCCUCUAUUAUACAAUAUUCUAUUUUAUCGUAGUUACGUAGCAAUAGUUACGUAUCAAUAAGAAUUUUCAACGGAGAGAUUAUUUCUAAAAUAUAUCGCGGUCAAAGCGAUUUUUCCUUUAAACAUUUCUCUCUCUUAAAAAAAAAAAAAAAAAAAAUACUUGGAACGAGUAUUGCUUUGCACGCAACCUGUUCUUCGUUCCACGCAUCCUUUCCUUCGUACAUGUACGAUAUAGUGUACGUUCUCUCUCUCUCCCUUUCUCUCCUUUUUUUUUUAUUUCUCUCUUAUGGAACAAGGAUAAACGAGGGUUAGAAACCACCCCCGGUAUCCACGUGAUCAGGGUUGCGUCCCUUCGAAGGGUGCAACGUAAGAGGGUGACGUGGACUUGUCCAAGGUCGCACGUGGCUUGCCCAGAGGGAUCUCUUCUCCCUAACUACGAGGGUGCACAAUUUUUUUCCCGUUCAUUCGAUUCCACGGCUAUCGAACAACCACCAUUCGUGUCAUGAAUAAAAAAAAGUUCCUCUCCCUCUCUCCUAUAACAUUUUUCUCUUUCACCAUUUACCUUUGAUACACUUUUCCGCCAAAAUUCGAAUUGUCGAUCGUCUUAAAUUUUCCAAUCCCUUUCUUCCUUUUUCUAAAUUAAAAAAAAAAAUUUCCACUUUCGAUACAUUUAAUUACGUUUUACAAACUAGAAUCAAAAUAGUCUCAAUCUCUCUCUCUCUCUCUCUCCUUCCUCCUGCCUCGAUUAUCAAUAGCACUACUAUUUAGCCGGCAAAGGUAGCCGGUUAAGUUUUCGAGGAAGGAGAAAGGAGCAACGAGGAUGCGCAGGAGUGGUGAAGGGUGAACGGAAGCAACGAGAAGAAGAAGGGAGAAAGGGUGGUGAAGAGAGGGUGGUGAACAGCGGAUAAGAGAGUCCCUUUGUGUGUUCGUGUACGAGCGGAGGGAUGAAAGCGGAGGAUGAAAAAGCCGGGGGGACAGAUGGCCCUUUCAGACAAUGAGAAACUCCGGAGAUAAGGGGAACGCGAGCGAGAAUCUAAGGGGAGGGGGGGGGAGGGAGAUAGAGAAAGAGGAAGAGAAGGGAAAAAAGGGAGUUGGGGGGGGGAGAGAAAGAAGGAGGGAAGAGGCAAAACUGCUUUUUUGAGACGGCAAUGGGGGAAGGGACGUAAUGAACGGAUGAGGCGGGAGAGCGCGCGAGAGAACGGGGGAAGGGAGAGGAGGAGAGAAAGAGAAAGGGAAGGUUGGAAGAGUUGGAAUAACGCGAGUGAGUCAGAUGCGGAAUCGGUCGAGCAACGAUCUUUAAACGCGAUUAAUCGCCGAGCAAUACAGUUUUCUUCUCUCCGCGGGGCCCGUUAAGGCGCGUUUAAAUUGUUUUCCAACUGGGAACGGAAAGUUUGUCACAAUCGAGUAUUUUUUUUUUUUUUUUUUUUUUUUUUGAUAGAAAACGAUCGUUUAAUAUAACAUUCUUCUCGAAUCAUUCUUUUCGUUAAAAUUACGUUUAUCAACGAUGAGAAAUAACGACACGUUUCAAUUCUAUUACAAUAACGAUUACUUUCGAAAUUCGGCAUUUUCCCGCAAUACAAUUUUUUACAAGGUGAAAGAUUGUCUCGUAUAAAUAAGUCGCGGAAACAAAAAGGCGGAAUAAUCGAUCAAGAAAGUUCCUCCUCUUGCAUUUUUUGCGCGGUUUCAAAGAAAUAGGAUGUAUAUGUAUGUACACGUUGGAACGGAGAAUACGGAGAGUGCGGAGAGAAAGGCAAGAGGGUUGCCAGCGGAAAAGAUCGGUUCCGAUGAGUAGGGUGAAGAAGAGGGGACGAAGGUGAAGGAGGAGACAGCGACGACGUCGACGAUGGUAACGGUGGCGAUGGCGGUAGCGCUGGUGGCGGCGACGACGACGACGGCCGAGCAAGCGGAGAAGAUUGCAGAGGAGAAGGAAAAAGAGAAGGAGAAGGAGAAGGAGGAGGAGGAGGAGGAGGAGGAGGUAGAGGUGGAAGUGGAGGUAGAGCUGGAGGUGGUGGUGACGAAGAAGGUUAUCGAGGAAGGGGAAGACGGGAAGGAGGCGGCGAGGAAAAGGAAAAGUCGCAGUCGCCCUCCGGAACUCGAGCCUUGGAUCGUUCUAAGAAAAAAAUGGAAAGAAAGAGAAAGAGAAAAGAAGAGGAAAAGAGAGCCUGAUAGAAUGGAAGGGAUCGAGAAACGACAAAGAGAGGAAGAAAUAGACGAGAAGAAGAGAGAGCAGAGAAAAGAAAAUAUACGUGGUUCUCCCGGCGGAUACGAACGCGGCAAGGCCGAGAGAAGGAACAGUAAAAUUGUAGAGAAUGUGUACGCGCCAUCAGGGUGGCCUAGAUUCAGUCAAGACCUGCUUUCUAGGCAGCAUUUCUCUUUAUCAUCGGCACCGCUGGUACAAUGUAUGGGUAAACCGUUGGUUGCCGUACGAUCGUGGAGAAAAUCUCAGGUGCACAUAGUGCGUACUUAUUAAUGAUUCUUCCAAUUCUAUCAAUGAUUUGAUAAAUAAUUUCUACGUAUAAUUACAGAUUUCGAAUAUCAUGCAUUCUAGAUUCUAUUCUAUUCUCCGUUAUUUCUUUUCUUUCCAUCUUUUUUCUUUAUCGUAAUCUUUAUUUUCAAUACUUUACUUUUAAUAUUUUAACGAAUAUUUGUUACAUCGUUCUAAUUUGUACAUAAAAUUUUUUAUCAAUUUUUGUCACUUUAAAUAUCGUGAUUCAAAUUUAAUGCAUAAAUCAUUGAUAUCGCUGCAACAUGCAUAAGUACUUGUAAUAUACUGUAUCUAUAUUAUUAUCUUCGUAUAUAAUAUAUAUAUACAAAGAUGAAAGUCAAACGCGAGUAAUAAAUACUAUAUCAAUGUUUACAAAAAAUCUACACUUGAUGUCUUUGCGAAAGAGAGAAUUUAGAAAAAAAAAAAAGAAAGAAAGAAAGAAAAAUGAAUUUUGUAAAAAUCUUUGUUAUAUGAUUUGCGUAUUACGAAUAAUUUUGCGCCAAGACAAGAUGCUAGUCAUGUUUUUCUUCGUAUACAGCUAUACUGUACGCGCAAACAUUAAAUAAGUGUUUCCUGCGCAUACGUAAUCGCUGAUUAUUGGACAGUUAUCGUGCACGUGACCUACCGUAAUCGACGACAGCGAUUCGAACGUGCACGCGGCAACUGUUCCAAAUCCUCAUGGUGAGAAGCCACGAGGCGCGCGUGGAGGGACGUUUAAUUUGUCUUUCCGAAUGCGACAGGUCGUUAAAUGUCGUGGAUCAUUGUCACGCACAUCUAUACGAGUACGCACACGCGACUGACCAGCUGUGCGGAACUAUAGACGAAGCGGUCGAAAGUCAAAACAAUACAAGACAAGCACGCGUAAACGCGGUACAAAAUAUCGCCUGUGAAAGAUUGACAGUAUUUUCACAUCGAGGCAUCAAAAUAAUUAUUGCUCAAACGUUCGUUUAUUGAUAUAUUUUUCAUCUAUUACUAUUAUGUAUAUCUAAGAUUUUGUUUAAGACGUGUCAAUGUAACGAUAAGUACAUUUAAUAUACUCGUUGUUGAACAAAGAAAUGAUUAAGAAUCGUGAUGUAACGAUAUCGAUGAUUCACGGGGUGAACAAUCAUAGUGUUCAAAUUUAUUAUCGU